CUGUAUUUAUACCUUUUCUUAGUGAGAGACAGAAUCAUUCAGACAGAAAUAGUUUGUUUGCUAGUGGAGUGGAUAACUACUGAAACAGAUGGAAAAAGUAACCAAGGUGUUUUCUUCUUUAGGUUAGGCACACAAACUGGGUGGAUGAUUCAAGAAAUUCAGGAGGAUGCAAGUUCUGUGCUGUACUAGGAGUUAUUCUAAACAAUGGCUACUUUCAGUCUAUGAAGAACAGUUUCACUGGCUUUGUCAAAUAAAAAAAAGUGACACUAAAAUAUGAAGCAGUCAACAUGUACGCAUAUAAAACCACUGCAGAUGGAUGGGUCAUAUAUGAAGAUAAGCUAUACUACAUCAGCAAAAAAUAUACCUCCAUGGAAAAAGCCCAGGAGUUUUGCAGGAUGAAUUCUACAUACUUGGCUUUUAUUGAUAGCAAUAUUGAGAGAAUAUUCCUACAGAGAGCACUAAAAGAAAAUGUAAGAAUCAUUAUAAACAAAGAGCCUAAAGUAGAAAUGUUUUCGACAAUCUGCUUGCAAAACUUCAAUUGACUCAGAAGUAGAGCCAUCAGCGUUUUCAAUAAUGAAAUCCACCUGAGAGGAGAUCUACGACGUUCACCCCAAAUGAGCCCUUUGGUCCUGUGGGAUUUGGUCUGUCCUGCUCUGUGCCAGCUGUGCUGAGGCUGUGAGACAAGCUAGUGGACAGAGCAAUGUGUGAAGUUGCCAGCUGUGUUGGCUUGGAAAGUAGCUGAUAUGAGAGGGGAAACUGUAGGUCGGCACUAGAAGGUUCUGCAGUCCUGGAGGAAGAAUCAAAGAUGUGUACCAGCUUCUGACACAAGAUUUGCUUCUCUCCUACUCCAUCCUAAGAGCCCUCAAUGCUGCAGGACUCAGCUGUGAUGUUCCAGAUAAAAAUCUGGCUUCUGCUAUGUCUGAGUGUGCAAACACAUCAUUGUGCUUUACUGUAAGAAUGAGCCUUACUGCUGGUGCCUUCAUUGACUUCUCUGUGAACCUAAUCAAUGACACAUCCAUUUCUGCUUGUUUUGCUUAAAAUAUUUAUUUACUGAAAUAGUAUCUUUCUGUUUUAGAAGGAAUUCUGGAGUUCAUCAGAAGGAUACUUCUCUGGUCUAAGAGCGAGUCUUGACAAAAGUUUGGGUAAGCAAAGAUGAUCCCUGCAGCUCUUAACAUGUAGAAGCAAAUCCAGUAUUUUGUGUAGCUGGAGGUACUAAAUGUGCUGUUUUCAAGGGCUGAGGGCAGUCCCGCAUAACAAGUACAAAGCAGAACAAAACAGUCCUACAAUAUUCUAAAGUGCAUUAGUUUUCCCCAAAAAGAAAUAUGAAAAGAACAUUUUUUUCUUGAGUAAACACUUACCCGAAGAGAGGCUUGGCAGCUGUACUGUUCAUACACGCUCUCUCAAGUUUCUGUCAAAGAUUUCCCCAUAAAUUGGAGUGAUACUUUACUAUGCUGGAUUUUAUGCCUAUAAACACACACACUUAAACCAUGCUCCAUACCAUAAAGGUGAGCUUUAAUUGUGAGAUGUUGAGAUGUUAAUUAGGAUUCUCAUCUCAUAAUUGAAAUGUAUUAAUUAAUAAGUAUUUGUAUAUUUUUUCUUUAAGCUGGAUAGAUGGAACUCCAGUAGCCUAUGUGGCUUGGGCACCGAAUGAACCCAGCUUUGCAAAUAAUGAGGAAAAUAGUGUGGUAAUGUUCUCAGAGCAAGGUAAGUAACAAGACUAAACUAUUAGAUUUUACUUGUCUCUGCUUGGAUUAUAACUGAUGCUGUCAAGCUUCUACUGUCAGCUGUCACACAAUCUUUUAUGGUUGUUUUCUGCCAUUUCUUUACAGUGACAAGCCAAGAAGUUGCAGUAACUGAUGAAAAUACCAGUCAUGGAAGAAUCCCUGUUCUUAAAACUGGGUGAUUUUAGUACUAUGUGUCAUUUAAUCAGAUGUCUCUGGAUUUAUAAGACUGAUAUUACACCUUUUUAUAGGGUUUUUCACUCU